rnacentral:rRNA from 1 species
GACGAACGCUGGCGGCGUGCUUAACACAUGCAAGUCGUACGGGACCGGGGGCAACCCCGGUUCAGUGGCGGACGGGUGCGUAACACGUGAGGAACAUGACCUUCGGUGGGGGAUAGCCGGCCCAACGGCCGGGUAAUACCGCGUACGACGUUCCGGGCGCAUGUCCGGGGCGUGAAAGCAGCAAUGCGCCGAAGGAGUGCCUCGCGGCCUAUCAGCUAGUUGGUGGGGUAACGGCUCACCAAGGCGACGACGGGUAGCUGGUCUGAGAGGAUGGCCA